AAGAGGGAACCCGGUGGGAAUCCGGGACUGUCCCGCAGCGGUGAGUGGGAACGAACGCCGUCAAACGACACUGGGCCCGUGCCAGGGCCGGGGAAGUGACGGCCGGUAGGGGUCCGCGGAUGUCCGGCGGGCGCGCCCACGAGUCCGAAGACCU
rnacentral:ncRNA from 2 species